UCAACCUGGUUGAUCCUGCCAGUAGUCAUAUGCUUGUCUCAAAGAUUAAGCCAUGCAUGUCUAAGUAUAAACACAUUUAUACUGUGAAACUGCGAAUGGCUCAUUAAAUCAGUUAUUGUUUAUUUGAUAGUGCCCUUACUACUUGGAUAACCGUAGUAAUUCUAGAGCUAAUACAUGCGCCAAAUCCCAACUGC
rnacentral:rRNA from 1 species